GUCCCAUUGACGUUUCCUAAUAAAGUCAGUUUGUUUUUUAUUUCAUCUUAUUUUCAUUGGUUUUGUAUAAAAUAAUGCCGAAAACAAUUAAAAGUUCGACGAGAAAGCUUCUAUUUACUAUGAUUGACAAAUAUAAAGACGUACAAAGUGAUUUGAAUCAGAAAUUUGCAGAGAAAAUACGAUGACUGGAUUGUCAUUUCACUUUUAGAUAAUAUUAACGAGGACUCAGGACAACGACUACGAGGAAAGAAGGUCGACUUCAUGUUGAAGAGCAAUACAAAUUAAGGGAUCGUCUUAUUGAUACCGAACCUGAACCCUUCAUAAUACAUGUUGGAGGCACUAGCAGUAGCAGUGAAGCCAAUUCUAUAAUAUCAGGUGUAGAGUACUUGGAAUCCGAUUUCAAUUAUGACUCCUAACUCCUUUAUUGUGUUGAUUUAAUUGUAUCGGUGCUAUCUAUUACAUCAAAUAAACGUUUUGUAAUAA